rnacentral:rRNA from 1 species
UUGUCCUACGGGGGGCAGCAGUGGGGAAUAUUGCACAAAGGGGGAAACCCUGAUGCAGCGACGCCGCGUGAGUGAGGAAGUAUUUCGGUAUGUAAAGCUCUAUCAGCAGGAAAGAAAUGACGGUACCUGACUAAGAAGCCCCGGCUAACUACGUGCCAGCAGCCGCGGUAAUACGUAGGGGGCAAGCGUUAUCCGGAUUUACUGGGUGUAAAGGGAGCGUAGACGGCGAU